GAUUACUCAGCUGAAUUAUCUGAACUACAGGGAAGAAGAACUGGAAGCUCCAUAAUGCUGAGUCACCUGGGUUUGCAAGGAGUGAAAAGGCAGGUGAAUUACACUGGGUAGUACAGUGGUUGGAGGUGUCACUUCACAAUACCAAGGUGCAAGUGAAGAAUGAAGCCCAGGCCCAAAGAGCUGUUUCAUGGGUCCUAGAAAGCUUCAGAAGGUUCAUCACAAAAGGAUCCACACAGGAAGCUGCUCUGGAUGAAGUAUACAAAGGGCACAUGCAAACGCAGGAUUUGGCUACCAUAUCAGAUUGCAAAAGUCUACAUCUUGCUAUUCAAAGUGUGGUGUAUGCAUCACCAUCCGUGUCAGCAUCAGCAAGAGCAUGAGUAUUAUCUGAGAUUUUGUAAAAGCUGUGAACUCUCCCCAAACAUGCAGAAUCAAUAGCUGCU